rnacentral:rRNA from 1 species
AUGGCACCCGCCGGGGCCGGCGGCGGCUUCAAGCUCUUCGGCAAGGUCAUCACGCAGUGCGUCGAGGGGACCCAGGCGUCGCCGUCGCCGUCGCCCGCGUUCGCCGCGCAGGACGAGGAGCGGCGGCUGCACGGCGAGACGGACCGGACGACGACGGCGGUCAAGCGGGAGGCGGCGGACAUGGACUCGUCGCCGCAGCAUCAGCAGCAGCAGGGGGCGGAGGCGUCGCGGCGGACGCAGCUGCAGGAGUCGGCGGAGGCGCGCGCGGCCGCGGCGCCGCUGCCGUGCCCGCGGUGCCGGAGCCGGGAGACCAAGUUCUGCUACUUCAACAACUACAACGUGAACCAGCCGCGCCACUUCUGCAAGGCUUGCCACCGCUACUGGACGGCCGGCGGCGCGCUCCGCAACGUGCCCAUCGGCGCCGGCCGCCGCAAGAACCGCCCGCUCGGCCCCAUCGCCACCGUCGCCGGCCACCACCACCACCACCACCAGCGCGCCGCCGCCGGCUUCGUCCUCGGCUUCCCCAGCCCUUCCUCCUCCCCCACCUCCCCACCGCCGGUGUACGCCGACCGGUGGCAGCUCGGCCCGGAUCGCCGGUUCUGA